UACGUAGGGUGCGAGCGUUUGUCCGGAAUUAUUGGGCGUAAAGAGCUCGUAGGCGGUUUGUCGCGUCGGCCGUGAAGACUUGGGGCUUAACCCCAAGCUUGCGGUCGAUACGGGGCAGACUUGAGUUCGGCAGGGGAGACUGGAAUUCCUGGUGUAGCGGUGAAAUGCGCAGAUAUCAGGAGGAACACCGGUGGCGAAGGCGGGUCUCUGGGCCGAUACUGACGCUGAGGAGCGAAAGCGUGGGGAGCGAACAGG
rnacentral:rRNA from 1 species